UAGGGAAUCUUCGGCAAUGGACGAAAAGUCUGACCGAGCAACGCCGCGUGAGUGAAGAAGGUUUCGGAGUCGUAAAACUCUGUUGGUAGAGAAGAACGUUGGUGAGAGUGGAAAGCUCAUCAAGUGACGGUAACUACCCAGAAAGGGACGGCUAACUACGUGUCAG
rnacentral:rRNA from 1 species